rnacentral:snoRNA from 1 species
GUGAUGAAGUAAACCGCGCCGGCGAGCCAUGAGCGUAGAACUCACAACUGA